GAUGAACGCUGGCGGCGUGCCUAAUACAUGCAAGUCGAGCGAACUGAUUAGAAGCUUGCUUCUAUGACGUUAGCGGCGGACGGGUGAGUAACACGUGGGCAACCUGCCUGUAAGACUGGGAUAACUUCGGGAAACCGAAGCUAAUACCGGAUAGGAUCUUCUCCUUCAUGGGAGAUGAUUGAAAGAUGGUUUCGGCUAUCACUUACAGAUGGGCACGCGGUGCAUUAGCUAGUUGGUGAGGUAACGGCUCACCAAGGCAACGAUGCAUAGCCGACCGGAGUGGGUGAUCGGCCACACGGGGACAGAGACCCGGCCCAGACUCCGACGGGAGGCAGCAGUGGGGAAUGUUCCGCAAUGAACGAACGUCUGACGGGACAACGACGCGUGAGUGAUGAAGUCUUUCGGGUGGAAAAACUCUGUUGUUAGGGAAGAACAAGUACAAGAGUAACUGCUUGUACCUUGACGGUACCUAACCAGAAAGCCACGGCCAACUACGUGCCAGCAGCCGCAGUAA
rnacentral:rRNA from 1 species